rnacentral:pre_miRNA from 1 species
GGGGGGAGCACAGGAUCCUGGGCUGUGGCCCCUGGCACCCUGGGAUCCGGGGCCUGUGCUGCUGGAAUCGGACUCCUGGGGCGGCGCAGCCCCUU